UACGGGAGGCAGCAGUGGGGAAUAUUGCACAAUGGGCGCAAAGCCUGAUGCAGCCAUGCCGCGUGUAUGAAGAAGGCCUUCGGGUUGUAAAGUACUUUCAGUCGUGAGGAAGGUGUUAAGGUUAAUAACCUUAGCAAUUGACGUUAGCGACAGAAGAAGCACCGGCUAACUCCGUGCCAGCAGCCGCGGUAAUACGGAGGGUGCGAGCGUUAAUCGGAAUUACUGGGCGUAAAGGGCACGCAGGCGGUUAAUUAAGUUGGAUGUGAAAUCCCCGGGCUUAACCUGGGAAUGGCAUUCAAGACUGGUUAGCUAGAGUCUUGUAGAGGGGGUAGAAUUCCGAUGUGUAGCGGUGAAAUGCGUAGAGAUGUGGAGGAAUACCGGUGGCGAAGGCGGCCCCUGGACAAAGACUGGACGCUCAUGUGCGAAAGCGUGGGGAGCAAACAGGGAUUAGAUACC
rnacentral:rRNA from 1 species